UACAGAGGGUGCGAGCGUUAAUCGGAAUUACUGGGCGUAAAGCGCACGUAGUCGGCUUUGCAAGUCGGUUGUGAAAUCCCCGGGCUCAACCUGGGAACUGCAUCCGAGACUGCAUUGCUAGAGUAUGGGAGAGGAAAGCGGAAUUUCUGGUGUAGCAGUGAAAUGCGUAGAUAUCAGAAGGAACAUCAGUGGCGAAGGCGGCUU
rnacentral:rRNA from 1 species